GCUGCUCUUUCGAUGCAAACUGGGAGUCCUGCAGUACACUGUGAUCAGACCAAUUACCACUCUUAUAGCAUUGAUAUGUGAAAUGGUUGGUGUCUACAAUGAAGGGAAAUUUGGUUUCUCCAAUGCAAGGACUUACUUGGUUAUAAUAAAUAAUUUGUCAGAAGUGAUUGCCAUAUGCUGCCUCCUGCUGCUUUACAACAUGCUGAAGGAAGAGCUUAGCCCUAUAAAACCCGUUGGCAAAUUUCUUUGUGUCAAACUGGUAGCC